UGGGAAACCUCCAUACAGUUAUGCCAGCCUC
rnacentral:piRNA from 1 species